UGGAGGCAGCAGUGAGAAUUUUCCGCAAUGGGCGAAAGCCUGACGGAGCAAUACCGCGUGAGGGAUGACUGCCUAUGGGUUGUAAACCUCUUUUUUCAGGGAGGAAUAAAUGACGUGUACCUGAAGAAUAAGCAUCGGCUAACUCCGUGCCAGCAGCCGCGGUAAGACGGAGGAUGCAAGUGUUAUCCGGAAUCACUGGGCGUAAAGCGUCUGUAGGUGGCUCGACAAGUCAACUGUUAAAUCUUGAAGCUCAACUUCGAAAUCGCAGUCGAAACUAUCGAACUAGAGUAUAGUAGAGGUAGAGGGGAUUUCCAGUGGAGCGGUGAAAUGCGUAGAGAUUGGAAAGAACACCGAUGGUGAAGGCACUUUACUGGGCUAUUACUGACACUCAGAGACGAAAGCUAGGGUAGCAAAUGGGAUUAGAAACCCCGGUAGUCC
rnacentral:rRNA from 1 species